rnacentral:rRNA from 1 species
CACUGUACGAGUUUGAUCCUGGCUCAGGAUGAACGCUAGCGGCAGGCCUAACACAUGCAAGUCGAGGGGUAGUUACUUCGGGUAAUGAGACCGGCGCACGGGUGCGUAACGCGUAUGCAAUCUACCUUUUACAGGGGAAUAGCCCAGAGAAAUUUGGAUUAAUACCCCAUAGUAUUACAGAUUCGCAUGUUUCUGUGAUUAAAGUUCCAACGGUUGAGGAUGGGCAUGCGUGACAUUAGCUUGUUGGUGAGGUAACGGCUCACCAAGGCAACGAUGUCUAGGGGUUCUGAGAGGAUGAUCCCCCACACUGGUACUGAGACACGGACCAGACUCCUACGGGAGGCAGCAGUGAGGAAUAUUGGACAAUGGAGGCAACUCUGAUCCAGCCAUCCCGCGUGCAGGAAGAAGGCCCUAUGGGUUGUAAACUGCUUUUAUACAGGAAUAAACCCCUCUACGUGUAGAGGGCUGAAGGUACUGUAAGAAUAAGCACCGGCUAACUCCGUG